GCCCGCCUAGCUCAAUCGGAUAGAGCGUCAGACUCUUAAUAGAGGCUUGCAAAAGCAGUGGCUGUAUCUGAAGGCUGGGGGUUCGACCCCCCCGGUGGGCU